AUGUUGUUAGAGCUUUCCGAAGAACAUACCAGGAUCAUACCUGGUUAUGGUUGGAGACCACCCGACCCCGAGUGGCUCAAGAUCAACACAGACGCUAGCGUCUCACUGACUGAAAACAGAAGCGGAGCGGGGGGCCUUGCUCGAACCUCAUCCGCCUUUGUUGCUGCCUGGAGCAAGCCGCACCAUCAUGUCACGGAUCCGCUCAUCGCAGAAGCCCUGGCUCUAGGAGACGGAGUUAUUUUUGGCAAGCUUCGAGGUUCUUCGCGAGUGGUGCUCGAAGUAGAUUGUCCGGAGCUGGUACAGCUUUGGAACUUGCGACAAUUUUCGCGCUCUGUCAUAGCGCCUGUUCUUCUCAAAAUUGAAGGGCUAGCCUCAACUUUUCUUAGUUUUGAUAUUCAUCAUGUAUUGAGACAAGCUAACAACUCAGCGCACCUCUGUGCAAAGCAUGCUAGCACAUUGGGAGUGACUGAUUGUUGGAUGGACUCUCCUCCCGGUUUCCUAGUGACGAGCCUGAUGUCUGAAUAA
rnacentral:rRNA from 1 species